rnacentral:rRNA from 1 species
AUGAACGCUAGCGACAGGCUUAACACAUGCAAGUCGAGGGGCAGCACAGGUAGCAAUACCGGGUGGCGACCGGCGCACGGGUGAGUAACGCGUAUGCAACUUACCUAUCAGAGGGGGAUAACCCGGCGAAAGUCGGACUAAUACCGCAUGAAGCAGGGGCCCCGCAUGGGGAUAUUUGCUAAAGAUUCAUCGCUGAUAGAUAGGCAUGCGUUCCAUUAGGCAGUUGGCGGGGUAACGGCCCACCAAACCGACGAUGGAUAGGGGUUCUGAGAGGAAGGUCCCCCACAUUGGUACUGAGACACGGACCAAACUCCUACGGGAGGCAGCAGUGAGGAAUAUUGGUCAAUGGCCGAGAGGCUGAACCAGCCAAGUCGCGUGAGGGAUGAAGGUUCUAUGGAUCGUAAACCUCUUUUAUAAGGGAAUAAAGUGCGGGACGUGUCCCGUUUUGUAUGUACCUUAUGAAUAAGGAUCGGCUAACUCCGUGCCAGCAGCCGCGGUAAUACGGAGGAUCCGAGCGUUAUCCGGAUUUAUUGGGUUUAAAGGGUGCGUAGGCGGCCUUUUAAGUCAGCGGUGAAAGUCUGUGGCUCAACCAUAGAAUUGCCGUUGAAACUGGGGGGCUUGAGUAUGUUUGAGGCAGGCGGAAUGCGUGGUGUAGCGGUGAAAUGCAUAGAUAUCACGCAGAACCCCGAUUGCGAAGGCAGCCUGCCAAGCCAUGACUGACGCUGAUGCACGAAAGCGUGGGGAUCAAACAGGAUUAGAUACCCUGGUAGUCCACGCAGUAAACGAUGAUCACUAGCUGUUUGCGAUACACUGUAAGCGGCACAGCGAAAGCGUUAAGUGAUCCACCUGGGGAGUACGCCGGCAACGGUGAAACUCAAAGGAAUUGACGGGGGCCCGCACAAGCGGAGGAACAUGUGGUUUAAUUCGAUGAUACGCGAGGAACCUUACCCGGGUUUGAACGCAUUCGGACCGAGGUGGAAACACCUUUUCUAGCAAUAGCCGUUUGCGAGGUGCUGCAUGGUUGUCGUCAGCUCGUGCCGUGAGGUGUCGGCUUAAGUGCCAUAACGAGCGCAACCCUUGCCACUAGUUACUAACAGGUAAAGCUGAGGACUCUGGUGGGACUGCCAGCGUAAGCUGCGAGGAAGGCGGGGAUGACGUCAAAUCAGCACGGCCCUUACAUCCGGGGCGACACACGUGUUACAAUGGCGUGGACAAAGGGAAGCCACCUGGCGACAGGGAGCGAAUCCCCAAACCACGUCUCAGUUCGGAUCGGAGUCUGCAACCCGACUCCGUGAAGCUGGAUUCGCUAGUAAUCGCGCAUCAGCCAUGGCGCGGUGAAUACGUUCCCGGGCCUUGUACACACCGCCCGUCAAGCCAUGGGAGCCGGGGGUACCUGAAGUCCGUAACCGCGAGGAUCGGCUUAGGGUAAAACUGGUGACUGGGGCU